GGUGUGGCGCAGUUGGUUAGCGCGCCAGAUUGUGGCUCUGGAGAUCGUGGGUUCGAGUCCCACCAUU
rnacentral:tRNA from 1 species